rnacentral:lncRNA from 1 species
UUGUCUCUGGUAAUUUGUAACACAGUUACAGCACUCGUUUGAGGCAGAAAGGAAUGGGACUUGGAGGUCUAGGGCACUUGAGGUCGUGGUGUCUCUAGGAGGAUUUGAAAUGAACCUGUAGCUCUAUUGCUUCAUAACACCUUUUAGGUGUUAUUAGUCCUCCUGAUGGGUUCUGUAGACAGCAGAAGUGUGCAGGGAGAGUCUUCAAGGCAUUCUGCUAUAUCUUUGAAACAGGAAGAGCACAGUCAGACACAGCAUUUGUAAAAGGAGCCCAGACAAAUGAACAGGAGGCAUUCUGAUCCCAGUGUUAUUUUGCUGUUUUGAUACAUCCAGAAGUUCUAACCGACAAAAGAGGUUCACUGGACAGC